CACUAGCUGAGAAGCGUUGGCCAGGAAUACACACUUGAGCGGCCCCUUGGGAGAGGGUCUCGUCCAUCAGUUCUGAUCAAACACCCAUUCCCAGAGCAGAAAUGUCUGGCAGAGGCAAGAAUCCUCCAGCUUCGGGCUUAGAGCAACAACCACAAAGGGACUUGAAGCAGGGAGAGCUACACAGCCAGGAAUUAUCAGAGGGCCCUACCAUUGAUGUGGGAGUAAUUCAGCCAGAGAAGGCAAGUGGCACAGAGGAGGAUCAACAAAAGGAUCCACAGGUCGUGGACCUCGACCACUACACAAGAAAACAGCUGCUGCAGACCCAAUCUGAACUAGAGAAGUUGAUGAGACCACCUCUAUAUACCCUGACAUCACAGAUCUGGGAGACUAGAAGUGACCCAGGCUGUUCAAUGGGUUUUCACAAAGACUCACGGAGCUCAAGUGAAUUUGAGUCCGAGCUUAGCCUCAGUGAGAUGAAAGAGCGUUGGAGACUCGUCUCUGAUAUCAGAACUUUCAAGAAAGCCAGUUGGGAAGGUGAGUAAUCAAGUUCUCAUCUCGAGAGCUCA
rnacentral:lncRNA from 1 species